AUUUCGUAAAAUAUUUGUUCCGCUUCAUUGAUCAAUGGGUUAACUUCCUAAUGCUUAGAGCCGAACAAAAAACUCGAAGGUCAUACCGAUUUAUCGGACCUACGGAUCUUUUAAUCCGUGCAUACAGGAUGCGUUUAGUUCUGUCACUCUUAAACAAGGACAUUUGCCUCUAUAUAAUUGAUUAAACUGACUGGAACAAACAGUCUACUGACGCUUGCUUUUUAACAUGUCUUUCAUUUCUUAUAUCGUGCUCUUUUUCUUUAUUCAACGCAGGCUUUGUGCAUCUGACUUGAUUGCUCCGCAGAAUAACGAACAAUCAAGAUCUUCUUUGUCAGACUCUGUGCAAAAAAAGAUCGAUGAAGAGUAUGCAAUUUUCGACGAGGAGAAGACAAGUAAGGAAAGUAGUUCCAUUUAUAAUAGGGGGCAACUAGGAUUUAAUGAACGUAAGCGAGAUGAAAAGAGAUACGGCAACCAAGAUACAGCACGGAAAGGGCAUGACAAAGGAAGGCAUAGUUUAGGAGAAUUCGAAGUCGUCGAUCACGAGAAGAAUUCUUUUGAACGGCAUGGUAGUGGAUAUUACAAAAAAGGGCAUCACAGGACCGGUUUCAGCAACAACUACCAUAAGGACGAGUCAGGAAAUAAUUCAAGCUUUUACGAGGACAGCGAUGACGAAGGGGGGCAUAGGUCGUCCGGGAAUACCGGUGGAUAUUAUGGGCAAAAAUCGCAGAACUCGUUUAGGGACGGUUCGCGCGAUGUAUCUUACCUUGAAAAAGAUAGGGCACAACAGGGAAUAUAUGACAAUAGGAAAAAUAUUAACGAUUAUCAUGGUCAUAUCCGAGGAUAUAACAACGAUCGAUAUAUAGAUGAUAGAAGGAAUUAUCUGAGGAACGAAGCACGACAUUAUUUUGAUAAAAAUAAGGAAGAUAUAUACAAUCAUAAAGAAAGGUAUUGUCCAAUUACUUAUCGUAAUAACGAUCGUGUGCCCUCGCUCGGAUAUUCGCAUCAUUACGUGGAUACAUUACCUGGAGGAUAUUACAGAGAAGAUCCGUACAUUAUACCUUAUUCAAAAGAUUAUAAAUAUUUUCCACAUCGACAAAGAGAUUACGAACAAGAAAUAUAUCACCCUUAUACAAGUGUUUACACUAAAAACAAUCGAGGCGAUUUUGAUGAUAACGGAUACUUAAAGAAAUAUAGGAAUGAUUUUAAUAAUGCAUAUCACGGAAUUUAGAACUUGAUUUUGCAACGUAAAGUAUAGAUGUAAAGUUUGCAAUACUAGAUGUAAAGUUGUAAAGAUGCAAGUUUGUACUUUUAGUAAUAAAACUAUCUUUUAUAUGUCCAUACUUAUUUUGAACUGAUUUAAUUUUUAAUAUUCAUUGCAAUAUAGAGUACACCAGAAGGUCUACCACCAUCAUGAAUAAAGGAUACGACAAGGCUUCUGCAACUUUAUUAAAUUCAUUAUAAAAACGGUAUUUUGACUUUGAUAAUUUUAUAGCCAUUUUAAUUUUUGUAUGAAAAUGUCCUUUUCCGCGAAGUCGUCUGCUACUUACGUGUGAUGUUUGGUUGCAUAUUUACGGUGUUAUCGUAGAGAGUAAAAUGCAGCAUAGUUAAAUAUACAUUAAAAGCAUUCGUACAAGUUCGAACGAUCCAGUUAUAUUCAGAGUCCAAUUGAGAAUUCUCACUCAUAUUACAUGUUUCUAAAUCUUCUGUGACGAUAGCGUUAAUUUUCAUUAAAAAUUUUGGAACUAAAUAACGGAUUAUACAAAAAAAAUGUUUUGCAUUAAAAGUGAUGUUAAUCACAUUAUUUUCGUGGUUAUAUUCAUGGAAUCAUCUCGGAUUUGAAAUUGAUUAAAAACAUCAAAUGUCUGAAUUUUCAAAAAAUUGAAGUGUGUUUCGUCAUAGAUGAGAUACAAUAGAUAGAUUUAAUAUACAAUGCAUUUCUGUAUCAUAUAGUUUAAUAGGAAAUAAGUUUUAAAGGAAAUAAGAAACAUUAUAAAUGAAUGAUUUUAUUGUAGGUAUGUAUAUAUACUUUCUACGCUGAAAAGUGUUGAAAUUUGUUCGCAGUUUGAUUACUUACCGACAGUUAGCUUUGAAUAGGAUCCCUUCAUAACAUUUCAUGGUUUCGCCGCAAGUGGCGCUAUCAUCCGUGAUCGUGACGUAAUAUGAAAUACCCGACAGUCAGAGGUCUGGGGGUCUGCUGUAUGACCUUGCAGUGUUUGUAAACAGAUACACGUUGCUAUUGCAAAGUGUUGAGAAUACGAUAGAAUCAAGAUUUAACAAAGCGUGUCACGAAAAAUUUGCUUGAGAAACAACGAGAAGGAGCAAAUCCACGGGGAUCAUGGAAGUGGAGCCUAUGUGUAUCGUAGAAAAUGAGACGAAAUCAGUCACAGCUGUAAUAUAUCGUGUUGAAAUAAGCAACAGCAACCCAGUGGGACAUACACGAUACGGUGAAUGUGUUAGAAAGCCUUCGACUGCUAAAAAAAGAGGGAUCUCGCGGUGAUCGGAAAGAGGGGGGUAAGAGGGGACGCAAGCCUGGAAGGAAGGCGUCCGACAAGACGGACAUGAAAGCCAAGCUCG